UAGGUGGCGCUGCGUUUUCGCAUCAGGAAGUGUAACCCCCCCCUCCUCCUCUUUCCCAGCGCUGUGUUGAGCGCUGGAAAGCAGGACACGGCGAGGAAAUGGCCAGCAAAGUGAUGUGUGGGUAAAUGCUUUUGUUUGGACAUGCAACAGUAAUUUACGGUAAAAUUCCUUUAAUCUGGAACCCAGUACUCCGGAAAUCCCGAUAGCCUGGCAUCAACUCAAAAUGGUGGUGAAUCGGACUUUAAUCCAGUGGCGACUAAUAGUUCAGAGUCUUACGAGAGCAGAGGAGGAAGAUUGAACAACAGGAAAGAGAACAGAGGUUCAGAGGAAAGUCUGAAUAAGGCAGAGAAAGCAGCAACAGGGCAGAGAACCAGCGCACAGCCAGCAUCCAGUAUGGAGACCAACUCCAUCCAAGGUCCACCUGUGAAAAGGAAACAUGUCACACUUACUAUUCCACAGAAACUUGAAAUAAUCAGGAGACUAGAAAGCGGUGAAAGCCGCACUUCCAUUAUGGAGCAAUUCAACAUUGGUUCUUCAACCAUCUAUGACAUUAAGAAGAGAAAGGACCAGUUAUGUUCCUUUGUAGCAUCCAGCGAAACAAUGAGAGGCCUUAUGAAGCGACAAACCUUGAAGCAACCCAAAUUGGCUCAGUUGGAUAAGAUGGUGUACAAGUGGUUUACGGAAAUGCGAUCUCGAGGAAUAUCUGUGACUGGGCCCAUGAUCAUCGAGAAAGCCAAAGCUUUCUAUGCAGAAAUGGAAAUAACCGAAAAGUGCAUAUUUUCUGACGGAUGGUUAAGAAACUUUAAAGAACGCCAUGGCAUAAGGAAGAUGUCUGGCACGGGUGAACUGUGUGCAGAAGAUCCAGAAUCUGCAGAAGGCUAUAAUGAAUUUUUUAGUGCCCUCCUAAAAGAACAAAAAUUGCUACCGACCCAGAUUUAUAACGGGGAAGGCUUUGUAGAAGAGUGGAUGGUCGUCGAUAAGGACACACCUGUUGUUCAAUACAGCGAAGACAACUUUCCAAAUGUUAAAAUUCUUGAAGUCUCAGGCCCAUCUGACGAAGAAGAGGAGGAGGAGGAGGUGGUUGUGGCAGAACCUAAAAAGAAAUACACCUGGAAUCAAGCUUCAGAAUUCAUCACAAAGUUUGUUGAGUUUGCCGAAACCAGUAGUCAUUACAGUGCAGCAGAAGUCAUGAAUCUUCGGAUCAUCCUGGAUAAUUUUUACCAGAAACAAGCCUCAUUCAUGACCGAGUUACACCACAAGAGCAGAUGCAAAAAGCGGCCCAAGAAAGCACUAAAUUCUACUCCAACUACCUCCAUCAUUGUGAAUACUAUCGAUCCCCACUCUCCUGAACGAUCUAUCUCACCCGUGUCUAUAGAAUAUAAAGUGGUGGACGUAUCGGACGAUGCAGUAGAAGAUAUCAAAUUAGAAGACUCAUCGGAUUAGCUGUGCAGCCCAAAUAUUUUAUAGGGUCACUCCUUGUUUACAGUAACUUCUCAAGUUAAUUGGCCCAGGAACCCUGUAACCAAAUCUCACGUACCUACGUAACCUGGACCCUAGAGUAAGUGAAGCUUAGUUAUGGGGUUCCUGGGCCAAAGAGACCUCAGAACUGAAUCUUCAGUUUUGGGUGGCAUUACUAUUUAAGUGUAUGUUUUAAGUCUUAUUUAAUUUUGUACUAUACUUUUAGGUUUACUGAGCUUUUGAUAUUUGACAAGUUACUGUAAUCCAUAUUUUUUUAAUAAAAAUAAAAUAAUACUAAAGUGAUAGUAGCAUAUUUAGUUUUUGGACUGCACACUAAUCUUUGAGCUACACGUCUUCCGGAGGGAUAUCGGACCCCUAAAGAUAUCCCCUUUAUCAGCUUGGAAAUCCACAGCUACGCGUUUUCAGGACCAACUUCUUUAUGACUCUGGUGAGACCUGGUAAACCGCAACCCCCAGACACUGUACAGUUCCGUAUAUCUAUGGAGAUGACAAAGUUAGACGUUCAGAACUAUCUGCAGCGGAUAUACAACGUGCCUGUCGCUGCUGUCCGAACUCGCAUCCAGUAUGGU